GUGGGGAAUCUUCCGCAAUGGGCGAAAGCCUGACGGAGCAACGCCGCGUGAGUGAAGACGGCCUUCGGGUUGUAAAGCUCUGUUAUACGGGACGAAUAGUCUUGUGGUUAAUACCCAUGAGAAGUGACGGUACCGUAAGAGAAAGCCACGGCUAACUACGUGCCAGCAGCCGCGGUAAUACGUAGGUGGCAAGCGUUGUCCGGAAUUAUUGGGCGUAAAGGGCGCGCAGGCGGCUUCUUAAGUCUGUCUUAAAAGUGCGGGGCUUAACCCCGUGAUGGGAUGGAAACUGGGAAGCUCAGAGUAUCGGAGAGGAAAGCGGAAUUCCUAGUGUAGCGGUGAAAUGCGUAGAUAUUAGGAGGAACACCAGUGGCGAAAGCGGCUUUCUGGACGAAAACUGACGCUGAGGCGCGAAAGCCAGGGGAGCGAACGGGA
rnacentral:rRNA from 1 species